rnacentral:rRNA from 1 species
UCGGGAAUUUUGGGCAAUGGGCGAAAGCCUGACCCAGCAACGCCGCGUGAGGGAUGAAGUAUUUCGGUAUGUAAACCUCGAAAGAAUGGGAAGAAUAAAUGACGGUACCAUUUAUAAGCUCCGGCUAACUACGUGCCAGCAGCCGCGGUAAUACGUAGGGAGCAAGCGUUGUUCGGAUUUACUGGGCGUAAAGGGCGCGUAGGCGGCGCGGUAAGUCACUUGUGAAAUCUCUGAGCUUAACUCAGAACGGCCAAGUGAUACUGCUGUGCUAGAGUGCGGAAGAGGCAACCGGAAUUCCAGGUGUAGUGGUGAAAUACGUAGAUAUCUGGAAGAACACCAGUUGCGAAGGCGGUCUCUUGGUCCGACACUGACGCUGAGGCGCGAAAGCGUGGGGAGCAAACA